UACGUAGGCAGCAAGCGUUGUUCGGAGUUACUGGGCGUAAAGGGUGCGUAGGCGGCUUUUUAAGUCUGGUGUGAAAUCUCCCGGCUCAACUGGGAGGGUGCGCCGGAUACUGAGGGGCUAGAGUGUGGGAGAGGAAAGUGGAAUUCCUGGUGUAGCGGUGAAAUGCGUAGAUAUUCGGAAGAACACCAGUGGCGAAGGCGGCUAACUGGCCCAUUACUGACGCUGAGGCUCGAAAGCGUGGGGAGCAAACAGG
rnacentral:rRNA from 1 species